rnacentral:rRNA from 1 species
UACGUAGGGGGCUAGCGUUGUCCGGAAUCAUUGGGCGUAAAGCGCGUGUAGGCGGUCCGGUAAGUCCGCUGUGAAAGUCGAGGGCUCAACCCUCGAAUGCCGGUGGAUACUGUCGGGCUAGAGUACGGAAGAGGCGAGUGGAAUUCCUGGUGUAGCGGUGGAAUGCGUAGAGAUCCGGAAGAACACCGGUGGCGAAGGCGGCCUGCUGGGCUCUGGCUGACACUGAGGCGCGACAGCGUGGGGAGCAAACAGG